UAGUAGUGGCUAGCCGGUCCGCGUACGCAACGAACACUGUUUAUUUAUCGGUGAUUUUAUACGUUUACAUUGAUAUAAUGGUGAAGUGUGUUCAAAAGUGAGAGUUCCACGUGAUAUGUUUAGAGCAAAUUCCGUCUCAACUCUUUGAAAAAAACUUAAGUAAGGCAUUUUGUAUAGAAUUUUAUGACUACCUUAAUAGCAACAGUGGCCAGCCCGGAUCUCAGUUUUCAAAUAAAAACAAGCACAAUAUUUCCUAGCUACCAUAUCUAUUCCUAUUUUUUAUCUAACCAUAGUCACGGUACAGUGUUUCUCAAUGACUGUACAGUCAGCUUCAAAAGUCAUUGAACAAAUCUAAAUUUUGAAAACAGCUAAACACCGAGAGUUUUCAUACACUUUUUAAAUACAAAAGUUUAGAAUGUAAGUAAAUGUUGGUAUUUGUGUUGUUAAGAAGUUACGACCCUUCACGUUGUUAGACGCUUUUGAAAAUGUUGAUAUGUUCAGCAACUUUUGAUGAUGAAUGUACUAACAAGCGGCACUUCUUUUUAACAAAAAAUAAUAAAACAUUGUACAAGUCUCAAUUGAAAUAUUUCUGUACCAAGUAAUGAAUUGUGAACGUUAUUAUGAAAUUCAGACCGAUUUCUUUAACGUCUGCCUGUCUCUAUUCGAUAGAUGAGUUAAUUAUGUAUUUCGUAGUGAAAUGUUGUUUUUGUUAUAAAAGUCAAAUUAAAAACAAACGCAUUCCAAUAAACAAAUGUCACUUUUA